rnacentral:rRNA from 1 species
AGGAUCCGAGCGUUAUCCGGAUUUAUUGGGUUUAAAGGGUGCGUAGGCGGCACAUUAAGUCAGGGGUGAAAUUCGGCAGCUCAACUGUCGGCGUGCCUUUGAUACUGGUGUGCUUGAAUUGGUUCGAGGUCGGCGGAAUGUGACAAGUAGCGGUGAAAUGCAUAGAUAUGUCACAGAACUCCAAUUGCGAAGGCAGCUGACCAGGUCCAUAUUGACGCUGAUGCACGAAAGCGUGGGUAUCGA